rnacentral:rRNA from 1 species
GACGAACGCUGGCGGCGUGCCUAAUACAUGCAAGUCGAGCGGACGAAUCGAAAGCUUGCUUUUGAUUCGUUAGCGGCGGACGGGUGAGUAACACGUGGGCAACCUGCCCUGUAGACGGGGAUAACACCGAGAAAUCGGUGCUAAUACCGGAUAACACGAAAUGUCGCAUGACGUUUCGUUGAAAGACGGCGCAAGCUGCCGCUACAGGAUGGGCCCGCGGCGCAUUAGCUAGUUGGUGAGGUAACGGCUCACCAAGGCGACGAUACGUAGCCGACCUGAGAGGGUGAUCGGCCACACUGGGACUGAGACACGGCCCAGACUCCUACGGGAGGCAGCAGUAGGGAAUCUUCCGCAAUGGACGAAAGUCUGACGGAGCAACGCCGCGUGAGCGAAGAAGGCCUUCGGGUCGUAAAGCUCUGUCGUUAGGGAAGAACAAGUAACGCAGUAACUGGCGUUACCGUGACGGUACCUAACGAGAAAGCCACGGCUAACUACGUG